AGUGAACGCUGGCGGUAGGCCUAACACAUGCGAGUCGAACGGCAGCACAGUAAGAGCUUGCUCUUACGGGUGGCGAGUGGCGGACGGGUGAGGAAUACAUCGGAAUCUACUUUUUCGUGGGGGAUAACGUAGGGAAACUUACGCUAAUACCGCAUACGACCUACGGGUGAAAGCAGGGGAUCUUCGGACCUUGCGCGAUUGAAUGAGCCGAUGUCGGAUUAGCUAGUUGGCGGGGUAAAGGCCCACCAAGGCGACGAUCCGUAGCUGGUCUGAGAGGAUGAUCAGCCACACUGGAACUGAGACACGGUCCAGACUCCUACGGGAGGCAGCAGUGGGGAAUAUUGGACAAUGGACGCAAGCCUGAUCCAGCCAUACCGCGUGGGUGAAGAAGGCCUUCGGGUUGUAAAGCCCUUUUGUUGGGAAAGAAAAGCAGCAGGUUAAUACCCCGCGGUUCUGACGGUACCCAAAGAAUAAGCACCGGCUAACUUCGUG
rnacentral:rRNA from 1 species